rnacentral:rRNA from 1 species
CCUACGGGUGGCAGCAGUGGGGAAUAUUGCACAAUGGGGGAAACCCUGAUGCAGCGACGCCGCGUGAGUGAAGAAGUAAUUCGUUACGUAAAGCUCUAUCAGCAGGGAAGCAACACUGACCUUACGGUCAGCAGACGGUACCUGAGUAAGAAGCCCCGGCUAACUACGGGCCAGCAGCCGCGGUAAUACGUAGGGGGCAAGCGUUAUCCGGAUUUACUGGGGGUAAAGGGAGUGUAGACGGCAGCGCAAGUCUGUAGUGAAAUGUCGGGGCCCAACCCCGGAACUGCUCUGGAAACUGUGAAGCUGGAGUGCAGGAGAGGUAAGCGGAAUGCCUGGUGUAGCGGUGAAAUGCGUAGAUAUCAGGAGGAACACCGGCGGCGAAGGCGGCUUACUGGACUGUAACUGACGUUGAGGCUCGAAGGCGUGGGGAGCAAACAGGAUUAGAUACCCGAGUAGUC